UCCUGGGGAGGAGGAAGAAGUCAAGAGUCACACCAGAUUGUACCACUCAAGAAUCAUUUGGUCCUUCCCUUGAUGCCUCUUUUUCAAAGCGUUAUGACAUCAAGUUGUUCCUUUUUUCUUGUUUAAUUGGGGCAGUUUUAACAGGGUCACUGGCUGCUGUCUUUGGAAUACGCUGAAGAGCGGCAGCAGGGAGACGAUGCAGGGAGAUGAGUUAGAAGGCUACGACAACAAUCCAGUGGCUGGCUCAGGAAUUGGCAUGGAUACUAUCCAGAUGUACGGAAUGCAAGGAGACACUUUCAGAGUCUUUUAGGAAAUUUCCUCCUUGCUUUUAUGGGAGAGCUUCCUGAAAUGAAUCUUUUCUACCAAAGAUUUCCAGCAUUUGAGCUGCACAGAUUUCAAGUUUGGAAGGACAAAGGAAUAAUCAGUCCCUGCUUGGAGAAUUAAACAAAUGGUUCCAAGUGGUCUGGGCUAACAAUGAGCAGUCACUCACUGCUACAAUAUUUCUGUGAAAAUGGCAAUUCCCUGCUUCCUCAAAUUCUCUGCAGUGGUAGACACAGGAACCAAAAUGAAAGUUCCCAUUUUGUAGAACUUGUGAGAUGAAAUUUAAGACUAAUGUAAUAAACCAGCAUUUGCAUGUUGACUAUAAAAUUAUUUACAAUAACUUAUAAUAUUGGUAAAUUGACAAUAACCAAAACCUCCAACAACAGGCAGUGGUUAAAGAAAUAAUAGCACCUUCCAACGUUUUUAGAAUUAGAAAUCCUCUUGAGUAGUUUUAAACGUAUUUUCAGCAAUUUUGACUGGCAUGUGCAAAAAAACUGAUUUUAAAUAAAAAAUAUUUUAAAUUUUUUGAUGAAUAUAUUAAAGAUUGUGUUAUAAAAUUUCUUCAAAAUACACUAGAUGCAAUCAGGUCUGGGAGAUUAUUACUUAAUAAAAAAUAGUCAAGCAGACAGGAAUCCUUAAGAAACAACACAUAUAUACCCUAAAUAUUUUAUUUUAAGUUAAAACAUUUACAUAUACUUUCAUUUGAAAAUACUUUGAUGUAACACCAAGGCAUGAUCGGAAUUCUUACGUAAACCACAUCCAUGAUGCAUUAUCUACAACUGCAGUUUUACUUUCCUUGGAGGGUGAAAUUUGUACAUUUUAUGAAAUGAUGUGAGUCUAGAACCUUCGAAGAUUUUUUUUACAAUGUUGUCUAUUCGUUUACAGACCACGGUUUUUUUUUAAAAAAAAAAGCUAGUAAAAAUUAAAUAUAAUAGUCUGUACAAGUGGUAUUAAUUGGUUUUAGAAUAAACAUAACUGAUUCUUGGUAAAUAUUCAACUCGAUGGUAGGGGGCAGGUGUACUUGGUCCUGCUAAAAAGUCGCCUUCUAGCCUUGAGCUGGCAGUUGAUUGUGGGCAGGGCUGGGUAUGCCUACAAGUGAAUGAAAGCUUAGGGCAAACUUGAGUGCCCCUCAGAACUGCCUGGAGGGCACGUUAAAACCCAGAACGCUGGUCCCACGAUCUGAUACAGAAGGUCUGGGGCGGGGCCUGAGAACUUGCAUUUAUUAUAAGUUCCCAGGUGAUGCUGAUGCUGCUGGUGGGGGCCACACUUUGAGAAUCACUGGAUUGGCCAAUACGGGGAGUUGGUAAAUAAUCCUCUGUUCAGUCUUUCUCCCCUUUAACAAGUGAGCACUGCUGUUUGUUUUAAACUAAGCAGGAAAAAGCACAAAUUGUUGUCAUAUACAUUUUUAGAUGAUAUAUUGUGUUUGGUUUAGGAAUUGAAUUGUGUUGGAGAGGAUAUUUACAUAUUAAUUACUAGCAAUUGAAUUAUCGCUUUCACGACCCUGAUGUUUAGAAUGAUUCAUUUUGUGCUUAAAAUAGCCCAUCACUUUAUUUUUAUGACUGUAAUUUCUUGUUACCAAAUGACAAGAGAAGAGGUGUCAGACCCUUCACUGCAAACACUUUUCCGUCAACAACACUUUGCAAAUGCGGUUAGCCUUUAUUCCUAAUCAAUGGGAAGUCAACUGGGAUAUAAGAUAAUUGUCACUCUUCUUUUCUCUUUAUCACGUGGGCUUUUGAAGCACAGUUGAGAUCUCAGUGUGCUGAAUAGAAACAGUAAUGAGAUGAAUUCAACUUCCUGAACAGAAGAGUCUGCAGGUGGAUUUGCAAAACUGGCCACAUCUGACCUUCAGUGUCUAUUUGCACACCCAGUCCUUCACCGAGGGGUAGUGACCAAGAAUAAAGACAAUGGAAGUGGCAUGCUGGGAAAGGGAGCAUGGCAGCUUCUGCCCUCCAAGGGGUUCAGACUGUUCUGCUUUAACAGGGAAAUGUUCAAGUUAUUUUACUUAUCAACAUUUUAAAAUCAGAAAUGGACAUGUUUGUUCUGUCUUGAACUAUGGGAACCCUAGAAACGUACUAGGGAAACUAAACAAUGUUACAUCAUUAAGAAUGAUA